rnacentral:sRNA from 1 species
GGUUGUGUUGUACUCAGCUGAUGCGGC